rnacentral:rRNA from 1 species
GUCGAGCGGAAGGCCCUUCGGGGUACUCGAGCGGCGAACGGGUGAGUAACACGUGAGCAACCUGCCCUAGGCUUUGGGAUAACCCUCGGAAACGGGGGCUAAUACCGAAUAUGACGCUUCGCCGCAUGGUGGGGUGUGGAAAGUUUUUCGGCCUGGGAUGGGCUCGCGGCCUAUCAGCUUGUUGGUGGGGUAAUGGCCUACCAAGGCGACGACGGGUAGCCGGCCUGAGAGGGCGACCGGCCACACUGGGACUGAGACACGGCCCAGACUCCUACGGGAGGCAGCAGUGGGGAAUAUUGCACAAUGGGCGGAAGCCUGAUGCAGCGACGCCGCGUGAGGGAUGACGGCCUUCGGGUUGUAAACCUCUUUCAGCAGGGACGAAGCGUAAGUGACGGUACCUGCAGAAGAAGCGCCGGCCAACUACGUGCCAGCAGCCGCGGUAAGACGUAGGGCGCGAGCGUUGUCCGGAUUUAUUGGGCGUAAAGAGCUCGUAGGCGGCUUGUCGCGUCGACUGUGAAAACCCGCAGCUCAACUGCGGGCCUGCAGUCGAUACGGGCAGGCUAGAGUUCGGUAGGGGAGACUGGAAUUCCUGGUGUAGCGGUGAAAUGCGCAGAUAUCAGGAGGAACACCGAUGGCGAAGGCAGGUCUCUGGGCCGAUACUGACGCUGAGGAGCG